AUUGAACGCUGGCGGCAGGCCUAACACAUGCAAGUCGAGCGGAGCGGCGGACGGGUGAGUAAUGCCUAGGAAUCUGCCUGGUCGUGGGGGAUAACGUCCGGAAACGGGCCCUAAUACCGCAUACUAUCAGAUGAGCCUGUGUCGGAUUAGCUCGUUGGUGGGGUGAAGGCCUACCAAGGCGACGAUCCGUAACUGGUCUGAGAGGAUGAUCAGUCACACUGGAACUGAGACACGGGCCAGACUCCUACGGGAGGCAGCAGUGGGGAAUAUGGGACAAUGGGCGAAAGUCUGAUCCAGCCCUGCCGCGGGUGUGAAGAAGGUCUUCGGGUUGUAAAGCACUUUAAGUUGUGAGGCGUUACCAACAGAAUAAGCACCGGCUAACUACGUGCCAGCAGCCGCGGUAAUAC
rnacentral:rRNA from 1 species